GGUCUGUUAAUCUGCUCCAAAUCGAUGCAGCUGCGGCUGGAGUCAUUUGACUAGGUCAUUUGACAUUUCAACAUGAAAAACGUAGCCUCCUUCGCUCUCAAAUCAGUCAAGUGAGUCAAAUCUCCUUUACAGCAACAUGAAUCCAUAUUUGAUUCCAUUCAAAUCGAUGAACUGAAGAAGUAAGAAGUUGAUUCCAUUCCUUGGCUCCGGUCUGCUGUGGUUUGCACUCUGCAGUUUUCAUUGGGUUUUGAAUUUUGAUUAUCAAUGGAAAAGUUGGGAGUAAGUCUGAGUGUCUAUCAAUGGGUUUUGAUUCAGUUUAUCAGAUUGUCAAUUUUACAUUUCGAUUGAAUAUGAAUAUAUGAUUAUCAGUUCAUUUCAUUUUUUACUUUAGUUCUUUGGCAUUAUGAUUAUGAUAGUAAGCCUUUGCUAGUUUGCUGCAAUACUUACUUACUGUGCCUUGAUUAGUUGAUUGCCUUAAUUGUAAUAGUAAGCCUUUGCUGCGAUAUUUAUGAAUUUAUCAAUUUAGCAGGUUUGUUUUCAGUUUAUGACUUUAGGAAGUUUUAUGUGCCUUGUGAUGAGUUUAUUUAGCAGCCCUUGUUUGAUUCAGUUUAUGACUUUAUGCUUUGGUCAGUUGUACUUGAACUAG
rnacentral:lncRNA from 1 species